rnacentral:rRNA from 1 species
UACGUAGGGUGCGAGCGUUGUCCGGAAUUAUUGGGCGUAAAGGGCUCGUAGGCGGUUCGUCACGUCGGGAGUGAAAACACGGGGCUUAACCCCGUGCCUGCUUCCGAUACGGGCAGACUAGAGGUAUGCAGGGGAGAACGGAAUUCCUGGUGCAGCGGUGAAAUGCGCAGAUAUCAGGAGGAACACCGGUGGCGAAGGCGGUUCUCUGGGCAUUACCUGACGCUGAGGAGCGAAAGUGUGGGGAGCAAACAGG